CUUCACGAAUCGCAUGGCUUGUGCCGGCGAUGUUUCAUUCAAAUUUCUGCCCUAUCAACUUUCGACGGUAGGGUAGUGGCCUACCGUGGUGGUAACGGGUAACGGAGGAUUAGGGUUCGAUUCCGGAGAGGGAGCCUGAGAAACGGCUACCACAUCCAAGGAAGGCAGCAGGCGCGCAAAUUACCCAAAUCCCAACUCGGGGAGGUAGUGACAAGAAAUAACGAUGCUCCGGCCAUCGGUCGGGUAAUCGGAAUGAGAACAAUAUAAAUCCCUUAUCGAGGAUCAAUUGGAGGGCAAGUCUGGUGCCAGCAGCCGCGGUAAUUCCAGCUCCAAUAGCGUAUAUUUAAGUUGCUGCGGUUAAAAAGCUCGUAGUCGGAUUUCGGGUGGUACCUGCCGGUCCGCCUUUGGUGUGUACUGGUAGGCGCUACCUUUCUGCCGAGGACAGGCUCCUGGGCUUUACUGUCUGGGGUCUGGAGUCGGCGACGUCACUUUGAGUAAAUUAGGGUGUUUAAAGCAGGCAUAUGCUCUGAAUACACUAGCAUGGGAUGACACGAUAGGACUCCGGUCUAUCUUGUCGGUCUGUAGGCUGGAGUAAUGAUUAAGAGGGACAGUCGGGGGCAUUCGUAUUUCGUAGUCAGAGGUGAAAUUCUUGGAUUUACGGAAGACGAACUUCUGCGAAAGCAUUUGCCAAGGAUGUUUUCAUUGAUCAAGAACGAAAGUCGGGGGCUCGAAGACGAUUAGAUACCGUCGUAGUCUCGACCAUAAACGAUGCCGACUAGGGAUCGGAGGUGGUUUCUUGAUGACCUCUCCGGCACCUUACGAGAAAUCAAAGUUUCUGGGUUCCGGGGGGAGUAUGGUCGCAAGGCUGAAACUUAAAGGAAUUGACGGAAGGGCACCACCAGGCGUGGAGCCUGCGGCUUAAUUUGACUCAACACGGGGAAA
rnacentral:rRNA from 1 species